UUGGAGGGCAAGUCUGGUGCCAGCAGCCGCGGUAAUUCCAGCUCCAAUAGCGUAUAUUAAAGUUGUUGCAGUUAAAAAGCUCGUAGUUGAAUUUCGGAAUCUGUCCGUCGGUCGGGCUUCACUGUCCGUACUGGUGUGAUGGGUUUCUACCUUCUGAAUAACCGGCAUGUCAUUAAUUUGGUGUUGCAGGGAAUCAGGACUGUUACUUUGAAAAAAUUAGAGUGUUUAAAGCAGGCUUUAGCUUGAAUACAUUAGCAUGGAAUAAUGAAAUAGGACGUUUGAUCCUAUUUUGUUGGUUUCUAGGAUUGACGUAAUGAUUAAUAGGGAUAGUUGGGGGCAUUAGUAUUCAAUUGUCAGAGGUGAAAUUCUUGGAUUUAUUGAAGACUAACUUCUGCGAAAGCAUUUGCCAAGGAUGUUUUCAUUAAUCAAGAACGAAAGUUAGGGGAUCGAAGACGAUCAGAUACCGUCGUAGUCUUAACCAUAAACUAUGCCGACUAGGGAUCGGACGAUGUUAAUUUUUUAAUGACUCGUUCGGCGCCUUACGGGAAAC
rnacentral:rRNA from 1 species